rnacentral:rRNA from 1 species
CCUACGGGCGACAGCAGUGGGGAAUAUUGCACAAUGGGGGAAACCCUGAUGCAGCGACGCCGCGUGAAGGAAGAAGUAUUUCGGUAUGUAAACUUCUAUCAGCAGGGAAGAAAAUGACGGUACCUGACUAAGAAGCCCCGGCUAACUACGUGCCAGCAGCCGCGGUAAUCCGUAGGGGGCAAGCGUUAUCCGGAUUUACUGGGUGUAAAGGGAGCGGAGGCGGUUUAGCAAGUCAGAAGUGAAAGCCCGGGGCUCAACUCCGGGACGGCUUUUGAAACUGUUGAACUAGAGUGCAGGAGAGGUAAGUGGAAUUCCUAGUGUAGCGGUGAAAUGCGUAGAUAUUAGGAGGAACACCAGUGGCGAAGGCGGCUUACUGGACUGUAAAUGACGCUGAGGCUCGAAAGCGUGGGGAGCAAACAGGAUUAGAUACCCGUAUAGUC